rnacentral:rRNA from 1 species
AUUGAACGCUGGCGGCAGGCUCAACACAUGCAAGUCGAGCGGGGUGAUGGUGCUUGCACUAUCACUUAGCGGCGGACGGGUGAGUAAUGCUUAGGAAUCUGCCUAUUAGUGGGGGACAACAUCUCGAAAGGGAUGCUAAUACCGCGUACGUCCUACGGGAGAAAGCAGGGGAUCACUUGUGACCUUGCGCUAAUAAAUGAGCCUAAGUCGGAUUAGCUAGUUGGUGGGGUAAAGGCCUACCAAGGCGACGAUCUGUAGCGGGUCUGAGAGGAUGAUCCGCCACACUGGGACUGGGACACGGCCCAGACUCCUACGGGAGGCAGCAGUGGGGAAUAUUGGACAAUGGGGGGGACCCUGAUCCAGCCAUGCCGCGUGUGUGAAGAAGGCCUUAUGGUUGUAAAGCACUUUAAGCGAGGAGGAGGCUCUUUUGGUUAAUACCCAAGAUGAGUGGACGUUACUCGCAGAAUAAGCACCGGCUAACUCUGUGCCAGCCGCCGCAGUAA